UUUAUCUUUAUUAUAAAAAGGUCAAUGAAUCCCAUGGAUUUUUGUUCCCUUUCAGAUCAAUAAAUCCCAUGCCUUCCAUGCAUUUCGGUCAUUAAGAUCCCUGUUCACAUGAAUUGCUGAAGAAAACACUGAUAUUCAUCCACAUGAAUUGCCUUUUAGAAUUUAUUAUUAUUAUUUUUUGGUUGUUGGGGUGGUAGAAAAUGUUGGUCUUUUCAGCCUUACAGUUCAUGGCUGAUUUAGUGGUCGCAGGCAUGUCUUUGUUUUUGGGUUUGUGGGUUUUUGGAUUUGUUGCUUGCAUUCUCUGCUCAGCUGCUUUCUUGCAAAGUGCCAGGGAUGUCUCUUAAAAGAGGCAUGGAUGAGUUCCUCAAUUUCACUCUAGCAAGCUCACUGUUCGUGCUUCCGGUGGCUAGACUCUUAACCUGUCAACAGCCACAUUUGAUACUUAAAGACUGACAGCUCAUCAUCAGAAUGUCUCCUCUUUCCUGUCGGUGCUCCCUGUGACCAGCCUCUGAACCUGUCACGGCCAUGCUUGAAAUUAUAGGUAGAACCGAAGCAGCUUGUACAGACCAUUGAGGUCCAUUUUCUACCACAAUCGGUCAUUUUUCUACCACCCGUAAAUCAAGAGUGGUAUUGUUCGGAGGUUGCUUAAAAUGGUGAGACAAGAGGCACAGAAUUAAGCCUGCAUCUUCAAAAAAGCUGGAGUAGAAUAGCAAGAAUGGUUGACACUGUUAUGUGGCUCUGCAAGGAAUGAAGAACUCUAAAUUUCAUUCAUAAUUUUGAGAGAAACUAAUCCUUCUUUUUAUUUUUAGAUUCAUAAUUUUGUUGGGGGCAAGGAAUGAAGAACUAUGGAUUUCAUUCAUAAUUUUGACAGAGAAACUGAUCCUUCUUUUUAUUUUUAAAUUCAUAAUUUUGUUGAGAUUCUGUUUUCUACUUAUUUUUACUUAAUAAGAAUCUCUCUCCCAUUAUAUAUCA